GACGAACGCUGGCGGCGUGCUUAACACAUGCAAGUCGAACGGUGAAGGGACCAGCUUGCUGGUUCUGGAUGAGUGGCGAACGGGUGAGUAACACGUGAGUAACCUGCCCCCUUCUUCUGGAUAACCGCAUGAAAGUGUGGCUAAUACGGGAUAUUCUGGGUCUGUCGCAUGGCGGGCCCGGGAAAGAUAUUGCUUCGGUGGGGGAUGGGCUCGCGGCCUAUCAGCUUGUUGGUGGGGUGAUGGCCUACCAAGGCGGUGACGGGUAGCCGGCCUGAGAGGGGGGCCGGUCACACUGGGACUGGGACACGGCCCAGACUCCUACGGGAGGCAGCAGUGGCGAAUAUUGCACGAUGGGCGCAAGCCUGAUGCAGCGACGCCGCGUGAGGGAUGGAGGCCUUCGGGUUGUAAACCUCUUUCGCCAGUGAAGCAGGCCUGCUCCUUGUGGGUGGGUUGACGGUAGCUGGAUAAGAAGCGCCGGCUAACUACGUG
rnacentral:rRNA from 1 species